rnacentral:rRNA from 1 species
AGUAAAAGUCGUAACAAGGUUUCCGUAGGUGAACCUGCGGAAGGAUCAUUAUCGAGUUCUUUGAAGUAAGGCCUUCACUAAUUGAUGCUGGCGUUCACGCGCAUGUGCUCAUCUGUGAAGUGUCCUUACGCUCAAAUCCACUCAACCACUGUGCACUUAAUUCGAAGCUUUUUGUGAGUCCUCCGCUUGCGGAGCAGCUCCCCUUCUUUACUGAGGGGUUGAGCCGGGGCUGGCAAUAAGGCUUUCGACUUUAUAAACUACUUUAUUGUCAUGUAGAACGUUAAUUACUAUUGAAAAUACAACUUUCAACAACGGAUCUCUUGGCUCUCGCAUCGAUGAAGAACGCAGCGAAAUGCAAUAAGUAAUGUGAAUUGCAGAAUUCAGUGAAUCAUCGAAUCUUUGAACGCACCUUGCACCCCUUGGUAUUCCGAGGAGUAUGCCUGUUUGAGUGUCAUGUAAUCAUCAAUCCCACUUACCUUUGUUGGUUCAAGUGCGGCUUGGAUUUGGAGGUUUAACUUGCUGGCUUUGUAAUGAAGUCGGCUCCUCUUGAAGAUAUUAGUCGGAACCCGAUCGCUCUCGUCGUGGUACGCGGUGUGAUAAUUUUA